AGCUGGUCAGAGUACAGUGGUGUUUACAACUAAUUGACCAUAAAUAGUUACAGAUUCCUCUGUCUCUUCUCCACUCCCACUGCUUCACUUGACUAGCCUUAA
rnacentral:Y_RNA from 1 species